CAGAGCACCCCCACCACCAGCGUCCUGGCUACCCUCCGGUGGGUCCAGAGCACCCCCACCACCAGCGUCCUGGCUACCCUCCGGUGGGUCCAGAGCACCCCCACCACCAGCGUCCUGGCUACCCUCCCCUGGGUCCAGAGCACCCCCACCACCAGCGUCCUGGCUACCCUCCCCUGGGUCCAGAGCACCCCCACCACCAGCGUCCUGGCUACCUUCCCCUGGGUUUAGAGCACCACCACCAGCGUCCUGGCUACCUUCCCCUGGGUCCAGAGCACCAUCGUCCUGGCUACCUUCCCCUGAAGCCUGAGCCUCCAAUACACCAAACGCAUGUACCAAAAAGUCCUCAGCAGCCUCGUGACUAUGGCAAGCAACUUGGUAAAUUGCGCAAGUGGCCUCAUAAACCACAUCGCCUCAUCAAACUGUAACGGAAGCAAGAUUUCUAGACCCAUGUUUGUUCGGUCCAGGACCAACCAGCAAAAGUCAAGAUGCAGAACAAGUUGCCAACUAAAAUUUGACUAAUAUAAAUUUUAAUAAAUUCAUGUUAAAGCUG